rnacentral:lncRNA from 1 species
ACUUCACCAGAGAAACCAUAAACAAAAGACUAUAAAGGCCUCAGCUGAAAUGAGUUCUUGCCAGCUGAGAUUCUUGUGAAGACACACGUGUCACCAAGGACUCCAACACCAAACUGUAGCCAAGAGACAUCUGAAAGUUAGGAGUAAGAGCCAGAGACUGACUUUCAGCUUCCACCAGAGCUGUGAGAAGAGUGACCCAAGAGUUGGCAGAGUGGCAAGAAGGCCUCAGGACCAGGCUCACUCCUCAGGGAGUUGAAAAAUGGAUGAGAAUUCAGAGGCUUUUGCAAGGUAACAUAAUGAACAGCAGCACAAAGCUAAGAUACAUCACAUUAGUGUGGCUUCCAAGAAAGAUUACAGACCCAAUAGUCCAGAUACUUCCAUGUAAGAACAUCACAGCCAAAAAAGGCUUAAUCUGACCUUUUAAUGAGCACUUAGCAGGGAAUUCCUUUGUAUAUACAGAGGCCUGAGACAGAAAAAUGGAUACAGAAAUGCAUGUGGAUGCCUGGUUCUUCUGUAGAGCUUUAAUUGUUUUGCAUGUUAGAAUCUUCCCAACUGUAUCAGGAAGAAGGGAUCUGCUCUUACUUUUUCUAGAAAGCUAGACAGGAUUUUCUGAAAUCCUAAAGAAGCAAAAUCCACUCCAGUCCUUGUUACUUGCUGCCAUUAAGGGUUGAAACGCAGCAUUUGCCAAGAGUGCAAGUUCCUUUAUUUGAUCCCCUUGACUGUACCAGUAUAACUGCCAAUCACAGGAAAUACCUCUAAUAACUCUUCCUUUUACUUAAUAAGGAAUACCACAUCUUUAAAACAUUAGAAACAGAUGUCACUGCAUUACUUCACUGCUGAUGUAUGUAAUAGAAAUGACACACUAAUUAAUUUAAUGCAGUAUAAAUGUACUGAUUAUUUAUCAUGGCUGACAAUAAAAUUAUGAAAACAUUCA